rnacentral:rRNA from 1 species
CUCCGGUUGAUCCUGCCGGACCCGACUGCUAUCAGAGUGGGACUAAGCCAUGCGAGUCAACAUAGCAAUAUGUGGCAUACGGCUCAGUAACACGUAGUCAACAUGCCCAGGGGACGUGGAUAACCUCGGGAAACUGAGGAUAAACCGCGAUAGGUCAUCACUUCUGGAAUGGGUAAUGACUUAAAUCUAUAUGGCCCCUGGAUUGGACUGCGGCCAAUCAGGCUGUUGGUGAGGUAAUGGCCCACCAAACCUGUAACCGGUACGGGCUCUGAGAGGAGGAGCCCGGAGAUGGGCACUGAGACAAGGGCCCAGGCCCUAUGGGGCGCAGCAGGCGCGAAACCUCUGCAAUAGGCGAAAGCUUGACAGGGUUACUCUGAGUGAUUUCCGUUAAGGAGAUCUUUUGGCACCUCUAAAAAUGGUGCAGAAUAAGGGGUGGGCAAGUCUGGUGUCAGCCGCCGCGGUAAUACCAGCACCCCGAGUGGUCGGGACGUUUAUUGGGCCUAAAGCAUCCGUAGCCGGUUCUACAAGUCUUCCGUUAAAUCCACCUGCUUAACAGAUGGGCUGCGGAAGAUACUAUAGAGCUAGGAGGCGGGAGAGGCAAGCGGUACUCGAUGGGUAGGGGUAAAAUCCUUUGAUCCAUUGAAGACCACCAGUGGCGAAGGCGGCUUGCCAGAACGCGCUCGACGGUGAGGGAUGAAAGCUGGGGGAGCAAACCGGAUUAGAUACCCGGGUAGUCCCAGCUGUAAACGAUGCAGACUCGGUGAUGAGUUGGCUUAUUGCUAACUCAGUGCCGCAGGGAAGCCGUUAAGUUUGCCGCCUGGGGAGUACGGUCGCAAGACUGAAACUUAAAGGAAUUGGCGGGGGAGCA